GGGCGCAUAGCUCAGUGGCACAGCAUUCGACUGCAGAUCGAGAGGUCCCGGUUCAAAACCGGGUGCUCCCU
rfam:Toxocara canis scaffold492, whole genome shotgun sequence.